AAGAAGAGUUCACUGUUUCUUCAGACGAAGAGCAGGACUCCGACGAUGAACGUUUGUAUUUUGAAGAGCGACUUGAUCCAGCUGAGGAUAUAAUUUCUGAAGAGAAUGUGGCAGCAUCACUCUCCUCUUCAGCGGGCAUUUGCAGAAAUGCGACGGACAUUCAUACAGGGAAUGUGUCUGCAACACCAACUUCGUCUGGUACUCGCACGUUUUGAACAAUGGCACGACAACAUUUAACUCCAUUCCCAAAGAGUUACAGUGUGUG